GACGAACGCUGGCGGCGUGCUUAACACAUGCAAGUCGAACGGAAAGGCCCUGCUUUUGUGGGGUGCUCGAGUGGCGAACGGGUGAGUAACACGUGAGUAACCUGCCCUUGACUUUGGGAUAACUUCAGGAAACUGGGGCUAAUACCGGAUAGGAGCUCCUGCUGCAUGGUGGGGGUUGGAAAGUUUCGGCGGUUGGGGAUGGACUCGCGGCUUAUCAGCUUGUUGGUGGGGUAGUGGCUUACCAAGGCUUUGACGGGUAGCCGGCCGGAGAGGGUGACCGGCCAAAUGGGGUUAGGGAAGCGGCCAAAGCCCAUAGGGGGGGGAAGAGGGGGGAAUUUUAAAAAAGGGGCGGAGGCCUGAGGAAGCAACGCCGGGGGGGGGAUGAGGGCCUUGGGGUUGAAAACCGGUUUGGCUGGUGACGAAGGGAGGGGGGGGGAAAUGGGAAAAAAAGCACGGGUAAACUGCGG
rnacentral:rRNA from 1 species